AGCCGGGUGUGGUGGCUGGCGCUUGUAAUCCCAGCACUUUGGGAGGCUGAGGCAGGAGAAAUGCUUAAACCAGGCAGGCAGAGGUGGCAGUGAGCCGAGAUGGCACCACUGCACUCCAGCCUGGGCAACA